rnacentral:misc_RNA from 1 species
CAGCACCCGGGUUGCUGGAACUAUGUACGUUCUUUUCUAAUAACAUUAUAUACCUUCCAUCUUCUGCUCGUUUUUAACUGGGGUUGUAAAAAGUUUAUAUUUCAAACAAAUACAAGUUCUGCAUCAUAAUCCAUGAAUCUCCCACAGGUCAAACCCUAUUUUGGUCACAUCUCCAUUAUCCACUUGAUAGACCUAAAAACGCAUUGUGCAACUUGGUGUUACAUGUACUUUGAUUAUUGCAUCCAGCAUUUUGCAUGAAGUAUCUUCUCUCAAACCUUGAACUGCUACUUUUUUUUUCUGUCAAAAUUCUAAUCCUAAAAUCUAUACCAUUGCACUAGACAAUUGCUCUUAUUUAUACUUUUGUCGUGCGCAUUAUAGAUUUAAAUGUUCCUUUGUCAUUAUGUGUAAGUUCUUCAUUUCAUUAAGGCUGUUCAUCACAUUUAUUUUCAUACUUGGUUAAAUCCACAUAAAUAGAUCCUAUACAGCAUGUGCUGAGUUCAUUAUGAAUUUUGAUUUUG